CAUUCGCAAGAUGUUACGGUCCAUUUGACACCAAUUUGUGUUUGUUACUUUGUUUUUGUUGUUAAUUCAAUGAUGGUGAAUGUUCGUUCAUUUAAGAAGUUUCAUGUGAUUGUUAUCUCGAUGACUAUGGCCUUAAUAGGCUCAUCUGAGAGUUGCCCCAAUAUGUUAUCAGGGAUUGGAUACCAUGAUGCUGAAACUGGAUCAUCUAUGAUUUGGAAGCUGAUAUUGUGUUCAUCUAAGAGUAUUGUAUUGUGCAUCAAGUGGUUCAAGCUGCAAGAGAUGAAGAAAAAUUGGAAAUUGAUGUGUUGACUCCAGAUGGGUCUGAUAAUAAAUGAAAGGUUAUAUGUUGAUUUGAAGUUGAAUUUUGUGGAUGAAGAUGAACAAGUUUAAAGAAGAAGUUUAUGGCUUUUGAACUAAAUGACAAUUUGUAUUCGCACUUUAUUUUGUGUUGCUUUUGUAUUCGCACUUUAUUUUGUGUUUCUUAUGUAUUCGCACUUUAUUUUG